rnacentral:rRNA from 1 species
UACGAAGGGUGCUAGCGUUGUUCGGAAUCACUGGGCGUAAAGCGCGCGUAGGCGGCUUAUCAAGUCAGAGGUGAAAUCCCCAGGCUCAACCUGGGAAUUGCCUUUGAAACUGCUAGGCUAGAGUGUCGGAGGGGAUGGCGGAAUUGCUAAUGUAGAGGUGAAAUUCGUAGAUAUUAGCAGGAACACCGGUGGCGAAGGCGGCCAUCUGGACGACAACUGACGCUGAGGCGCGAAAGCGUGGGGAUCAAACAGG